GCAGUCGUGGCCGAGUGGUUAAGGCGAUGGACUUGAAAUCCAUUGGGUUAUCCCCGCGCAGGUUCGAAUCCUGCCGGCUGCG
rnacentral:tRNA from 1 species